UAUUGCUGCCCUCCGCUGUUCUCUAAUCGCUAUUCACAACUUGAUUAAAAGUAAUUUACCUGUCUUGUAGAUUUCUACCGCCCAAAAUAUACACGCAUAUUCACUUCCGGUUAUUGAUGGCGUUUUGGUUUGUUGCAACCAACAGUCUACAACUUGAAACACCCGUUAAAUUGUGCAGCCUUUGGGUUCGUUUCAUAAAUGAGUGUUGUGGAAUCUGGAAAUAAGUUCAAAUCGGCGACUGCAACAGGAGCGAUACUGGAGAGCAGCAACUGGUUCGUUCGCCUCGCUGGUGCUGCUGCUGCAACAUCUACAACCGACGGAGGAGAACGGGCUGACCGACACAAUUCACGUGUAAUCUUGGUGGAAUAACGCGCGUUGAGCUGCUUUUACACAUUUUUACAGGCUUUACAGUACUUGGAGAGCAGAUCUUCUUCGCCAAUGGCAAGUCCGGUUGCAGACAUAGGACAGUCUCAUCAGCAUCACCCUGUGACCGACUCGGCCACAGACUCCGCGUUCCAGGAGGCGCAGACAUGGAUAGAGAGAACCAGAUGACUCAGGUCCGCCAUGAAUGGAGGCUUUUAGAACUGAGUGGGAUGCCUUUCAUUGUUUUGCACACGCACACACACACACACACACACACACACACACACACACACACACACACACACACACACACACACACAGGAUUCUAUGAACACUCAGCCCGGCAUUCCUGAGCCCACACACACAUACUCACACAAGCAUACAGACAUACUCACGGAGCUCCCCAGCUGGUCGCCCCCCAACAACAAUGCAUGCUGUCACCACACUCUGGAAAGAGACACAAUCGACCCUCAGCUGACUGGCAUUUGUCUGGACAGGGCUG
rnacentral:lncRNA from 1 species